rnacentral:sRNA from 1 species
UAGCACUGCUUCCUAAGAGCAGCGUGUCUACCAAUUUCACCAUAGCGGCAACUUGUUCAAAACAAUAUUAACAAGUUUUGAUUCAAUCGUCGAGAUUAAAAUUUAAAUAAAGAAGCCAAUUUAUUAAAAUUUCCAAUUGAUUUUUAAAAUUAUUUCAAUUGACUUUUUGUCCUUUAUAUUUUU